CGCGGAGUGGAGCAGGUGGUAGCUCGUCGGGCUCAUAACCCGAAGGUCGUAGGUUCAAGUCCUAUCUCCGCAACCA
rnacentral:tRNA from 1 species